rnacentral:lncRNA from 1 species
CAGUUCUGAAAUUUUUAUAAAAUAUUUUGUGGCCCUAAUGCCAAAUUCAAGCAUGAGCAAGAGUUCUAAACAUUCAGUACUAUAUUUAACAGUUUUUGUCAGUCUCCCAUUUGUUGCACAGUGUAAGUGCUGUUGAGCUCUACAAUAAUGUCUCCACAGCUCAUCGGAGAUCAUCAUCAGCCACGCUCCUGGAUAGAGCAUAGCUCUGGCAGGGCAAUCUGCUGCUUGCUCCUGCUCCCUUCUGCUGCUGCUGCACCCUGCAAAUAUCCUGCUCAAAGCAAACCGAAUGCUAAGCAAACGUGCGUGCGAAAAAGGUAAUUGAAAAAUAGUUACCAUUUCCUCUGUGCACAGGAAAAGCAAAGUUUUGCCCUCCUCUAACCCCCAGCCAGCACCUGCUGCGACGUGGAUUUCUUUUGCGAACUCGUUCGCCUGGCAAUUGCUUAUUUUAGCGUUUCUUAUUGGCAAUUGAAAUGCAGCGCCAGGCAGCGCCGUCUGUCCACUUACUUGCCAAUUCCCUUGCUGCCACUCGACGCGCUCAAUUUUUAAUGAACUUAUUUGAAUUUUAAUUAUUUUUGUUCUCUCAUCCUGCAGCCACAGUCACACUGGACUUUGGCGGCGCUGCAAUGCAAUGACCGGAAAGUAUUAUACGUUAUAUAUUUUUUUAUUUAUAUGUGUAUGCCGGCAGUAUGCUGUCCAGCCUGCCCCGACCACAUGCCGUUCGCAUAUUUCAUAGUGUCGCGCCAAAUCACGGGCGCCCGCAUUCCAGCACGGACUUUUGCUGGCAAUAAAACAUAAUAAUUAACGUUUUGUGAGCUGCUUUGAUAAAUGACGUUGCGGUGCGUACAUAUAUAUUUUUUGUACAUUUAUAAAUAUAUUUUUGUGCAUAUUUAUAGCACAGUUUUCAGCGCACGCUGCAUGCCAACUUUUAAUUACAUUUCGCACAAGUGUGUGACAUGUGUAGAGGUGUGUGUGUGUGUGUGUGCGUCUGUGUGUGUGCGUAAGACUGACAGCAACAAAGCACGAGUGCGUUAAGGUGUGGAGGAUUUUUGGCUGGGAGCAGUGGAAAAUGUAAGUAAUGACUAAAUGCGCUCUCCGACAGUUUAACAUGACAAAAAUGCUUUGCUUAUUUCUGUUUUAGGUGUCCUUUGCCCCACUUCCGGUUUCGUUUGCUCUUUUUUGUUGGCACCCCGCUGAGCUUGAUAAAUGAUACAACGACCGACCGACUGCCGGCCCCACAAUGUUGGACCCUCAAAGAAAACUUUCGCCGGACAGAGACGCUGAACAUUGUUGCCCCUGCACUCGGGCAACAUUGUGUGGCGCAAAAGCCUUUGAGUGAGCCAAGGGGAUUUCCAUCAUAAAGCAGCAACACAAAUGCACAAUAAAUAUAAAUGGGAAUGCGAGUGCGAGUGCGAGUGCGCCAAAGUAAAAGGCCCAGGCCACAAGAAAGAGCCACGGCGCUGCCCACUGGCAAAUGAAAUGAAAGGCUAAAAGAUGAGCGCACACUAUGAGCAUAUAAUAAAUGCUUAUA